GACGUGUGCACUUCCAAUGUGGAAUUUCAGGGUGAAUGGAUAGCUCCAGCUCCUGAGUUCACUGCUACUCAGCCUGAAGUCGCAGACUGGUCUGAAGGUGUGCAGGUGCCCUCGCUGCCUAUUCAGCAGUUCCCUACUGAAGACUGGAGCACCCAGCCGGCCACUGAAGACUGGUCUGCAGCUCCCACUGUUCAGGUCACUGAAUGGUCUUAAGCUGGUCUUCCACAAAGGCAAACAAAAAUGGAAAUAGAAAUGGAAAAG